GACAGAGGCCUCAAGCGUUAGGCGGAAUCACUGGGCUUAAAGCGUGUGUAGGCGGAUCGUUAAGUGUCUUGUGAAAUCCCACGGCUCACCCGUGGAACGGCUGGGCAUACUGGCGAUCUUGGGCCAACUAGGGGCAACUGGAACAAGCGGUGGAGCGGUGAAAUGCGUAGAUAAUCGCUUGGGAACGCCAAAGGGUGAAA
rnacentral:rRNA from 1 species